AAAAUAUUUGCAUGGAGUGUAAAUAAUGCCAAAGGAAAAAAAUGCCAAUUCCGUUCUACCAGGACGCCGAUCGCUGCAAUAAUACAUCCAUAGCUAGUGAGAUUAAUUAAACACUGCAGUUGAGGUGUAACAGCAUUUUAGGGGCUAUUGUACCUAACCGUGGCAUAGCGCUGGGCCAGCAUCAUUUUGUCCGGAUCAAUAUCUACAAAAAUGACGUCCCAAUUAUUAGAAGCUAAUAAUAUAGUGUCUUUGUCGAACAGUCAGCUGUACGAAGUUUCCGCUGUGCCACAAAACGGGUCGACGCCGGUCGCUGAACAUGGGAAGUCCUCAAGUCCACCCAGCAUCGUAUUGAUGAAUCAACAAUACAUCUUACAUCUUACAUCUUACAUCUAGCAUUGCAAUCUUAUAAUUAUUCACCUGAAUGCAUGUAAUCCUGAAUGUACAGUUAAUUUAUUACUACCCAUCUACA